GCGAGGUGACGAUAGAAAUUCAUGUCUGUCAAUCCACUGACUAAUUACAGUGUGAUGUUAAUGUGAAUCCCGACAGGUUCCGAUCGC